rnacentral:rRNA from 1 species
GACGAACGCUGGCGGCGUGCUUAAUACAUGCAAGUCGAGCGAGGCCCAUCCAGUGGCAACACUGGGGAAGGCCGAGCGGCGAACGGGUGAGUAACACGUGAGCAACCUGCCCCGAAGUCUGGAAUAACAUCGGGAAACCGGUGCUAAUACCGGAUUGCCCCACCCUGACCGCAUGAUCGGGUGAGGAAAGAUUUAUCGCUUCGGGAGGGGCUCGCGGCCUAUCAGCAGUUGGCGGGGUAACGGCCCACCAAGGCGUCGACGGGUAGCUGGUCUGAGAGGACGACCAGCCACACUGGGACUGAGACACGGCCCAGACUCCUACGGGAGGCAGCAGUAGGGAAUCUUGCGCAAUGGGCGAAAGCCUGACGCAGCAACGCCGCGUGGGGGA